GACGAGGUGGCCGAGCGGUUAAGGCGGUGGCCUGCUAAUCCGUCGUGCGCUGCAAAUCCCAUCAAAUCCCAUCGUCG